rnacentral:rRNA from 1 species
CUCGGCCUCAGAUCAGACAAGGCUACCCGCUGAAUUUAAGCAUAUUAAUAAGCGGAGGAAAAGAAACUAACAAGGAUUCCCCUAGUAACGGCGAGUGAAGCGGGAUCAGCUCAAAUUUAAAAUCUCCGUUGCUUGCAACGGCGAAUUGUAGUUUCGAGAAGCGCUUUCUAGGCGGACCGCCUGCGCCUAAGUUGCUUGGAACAGCACGUCAUAGAGGGUGACAACCCCGUCUGUGGCGUAGGCGGCCGCUCACGAUGUGCUUUCGAAGAGUCGGGUUGUUUGGGAAUGCAGCCCAAAAUGGGUGGUAAACUCCAUCUAAAGCUAAAUAUUGGCACGAGACCGAUAGCGAACAAGUACCGUGAGGGAAAGAUGAAAAGGACUUUGGAAAGAGAGUUAAAAAGUACGUGAAACCGUUAAAAGGGAAACGAAUGGAGCUAGCAAUGCACCCAGUGAGAUUCAGCCKGUAGGUGGCUAGGGCGCGCUGUUUGCAGAUCUGAAUUGACUGCUGCAGUGCGGUUCGAGCUMCCUGCCGUCGCACUUCUCGCGGGCGCGCGUCAACAUGGGUUGGGACCGGGUCUAAAAGGCACCGGCAAGGUAGGUGCGURCCUCCGGGUACGUACUGUUCUAGGCCGACGUUCUCGCGGCCCGGGCCCGACCGAGGCGAUGCAGCACAUGCCUCUUGUGGCUGGGGUCCCGUUCUUCCGGUUGGUUGUCGACUGUGGUGGACUGCGUGCAGUGCACCRCGACCGCUGCCGGUCGCUUGGGCGGUGACUUCGCAUGAUGUGCUUAGGAUGUUGGCGGUCAUAUGGCUUCAUCCGACCCGUCUUGAAACACGGACCAAGGAGUCUACCAUAUGCGCGAGUCUUUGGGUGAUUGAAACCCGCGGGCACAAUGAAAGUGAAGGCGGCUCCGGCCUGCCGAGGUGAGAACCUCCCCUCUGGGGGUGGCGCAUCAUCGACCGACCUAUUCUACUCUUAGGAAGGUUUGAGUAAGAGCGCAUUUGUUGGGACCCGAAAGAUGGUGAACUAUGCCUGAAUAGGGUGAAGCCAGAGGAAACUCUGGUGGAGGCUCGUAGCGAUUCUGACGUGCAAAUCGAUCGUCAAAUUUGGGUAUAGGGGCGAAAGACUAAUCGAACUGUCUAGUAGCUGGUUCCCUCCGAAGUUUCCCUCAGGAUAGCAGGAGCUCAGUGCAGUUUUAUCAGGUAAAGCGAAUGAUUAGAGGUCUUAGGGUUAAAACAACCUUAACCUAUUCUCAAACUUUAAAUUGGUAAGAAGUCCGACUUGCUUAAUUGAAGCCGGACGUGGAAUGCGAGUUCCUAGUGGGCCAUUUUUGGUAAGCAGAACUGGCGAUGCGGGAUGAACCGAACGCCGAGUUAAGGUGCCAAAGUCGACGCUCAUCAGACCCCACAAAAGGUGUUGGUUGCUAUAGACAGCAGGACGGUGGCCAUGGAAGUCGGAAUCCGCUAAGGAGUGUGUAACAACUCACCUGCCGAAGCAACUAGCCCUGAAAAUGGAUGGCGCUCAAGCGUCGCACCUAUACU